rnacentral:rRNA from 1 species
CCUACGGGAGGCUGCAGUGGGGAAUAUUGGACAAUGGGGGGAACCCUGAUCCAGCCAUGCCGCGUGUGUGAAGAAGGCCCUCGGGUUGUAAAGCACUUUCAGUGAGGAAGAACGCCUGGUGGUUAAUACCCAGCAGGAAAGACAUCACUCACAGAAGAAGCACCGGCUAACUCCGUGCCAGCAGCCGCGGUAAUACGGAGGGUGCGAGCGUUAAUCGGAAUUACUGGGCGUAAAGCGCGCGUAGGUGGCUUGAUAAGCCGGUUGUGAAAGCCCCGGGCUCAACCUGGGAACGGCAUCCGGAACUGUCAAGCUAGAGUGCAGGAGAGGAAGGUAGAAUUCCCGGUGUAGCGGUGAAAUGCGUAGAGAUCAGGAGGAAUACCAGUGGCGAAGGCGGCCUUCUGGACUGACACUGACACUGAGGUGCGAAAGCGUGGGUAGCAAACAGGAUUAGAUACCCGUGUAGUC